rnacentral:rRNA from 1 species
UACAGAGGUCCCAAGCGUUGUUCGGAUUUACUGGGCGUAAAGGGUGCGUAGGUGGUCGGGUAAGUCUCAUGUGAAAUCUCCAAGCUUAACUUGGAAAUGGCAUGGGAUACUAUUCGGCUAGAGGAUUGGAGGGGGGACUGGAAUUCCCGGUGUAGCAGUGAAAUGCGUAGAUAUCGGGAGGAACACCAGUGGCGAAGGCGAGUCCCUGGACAAUUCCUGACGCUGAGGCACGAAAGCUAGGGGAGCAAACGGG